CUUUGAAAUGGGAAAUUCUUUCCUAGUGCCUCGAACGUAAUAAAUGACUUGAAGUGGGUAAGAAGAGGCUACAAGAAUGAAUGAGUGAGUGAGUGAACGUAAUAAAUGACUUGAAGUGGGUAAGAGGCUACAAGAAUGAAUGAGUGAGUGAGUGAGUGAAUGUAAUAAAUGACUUGAAGUGGGUAAGAGGCUACAAGAAUGAAUGAGUGAGUGAGUGAGUGAAUGUAAUAAAUGACUUGAAGUGGGUAAGAGGCUACAAGAAUGAAUGAGUGAGUGAGUGAGUGAAUGUAAUAAAUGACUUGAAGUGGGUAAGAGGCUACAAGAAUGAAUGAGUGAGUGAGUGAGUGAAUGUAAUAAAUGACUUGAAGUGGGUAAGAGGCUACAAGAGUGAAUGAGUGAAUGAGUGAGUGAAUGGUGGGCAGGAUAUGAGGAGCCUUAAGGAUUUACCUCCAGCAGGGAUGGGGCAAGUGACCAAUGGAGCUCCAAGCAUCUGCGGGAGGUAAACAGCAGAUGUAUAAAAGGAGCCUUCUCGAGAGCCUGCAGGUCUAAGACCACAGCGAUAGGAGGACAGGGCAAGAACCUCUGUUCCAGAAGGAUUGGGACCAGGAAGAAAGCUGCAGAGAGGCAGGCUCGUGCUCACCUGCAGUCAUGCCCAUCUUGCCCACCUGCUGUCUGCGACUAGGCCAACUCCUAAACCUCUCUGAAGCUUAAGACCUGCCACAGUGGGCUGUGCCAGAGUUGGAGUGGAGACUCACUGAGAUCAUCUAGAAGAGGCACCUGCCUCAAAGCCUUCAGGGUCACUCAUCUAUUCAUCCAACAAAUAUUCAACAAGCACCUGUUACAUACCAGAUUAUUACAUACAUGUGGCAGUGCACGUAACUGUGAAGCUGUGUACUACAGCUGCAGGGCGAGGACUGGGGCUUUAGCUCCCACCUUGUGCAAUGUGGGAUCUUCUCCAUCGUCAUAUCAAGCCACCCCACGUGUAUUUAAUGUAAGUUGGAACACUGUGCUUGCUACAAAAGUCAGCUUCAGAAGAAGCCCCUCCGUGGAUCACCACCUCCCUACAAGCUGCAGUCCUAAUCUCCUAUGUCAAAAUCAGGGACUGCUGCUGCCCCGGGGGGUUUAGAGAUGAAGACCCAGACUCUGACUGAGGAGUCUCCCAGUGAAAGGAAGGAGGCAGAAGCCCAGUCACCAGUGACGCCACCCAGCUGAGUGGACCGCGCAGAGGGAGGCGGACGCAGGGCACUCCAACAUGGACCUGAGAGGCACACACUGCAAUGCAAAUCCUCCACGAUAGUCCACAGGAUGUACUGGGAGAAACUGGAAGGCCACAGGAGAAACGUUUGCUCACGAAAACACAGGCAUUUCAUGUGCCUGGAGCACGGGAUGAAGAAUUCCUUAGACUUUGAGUGCCAAGCUAGUGCUUGGACUUUCUUCUAAAGGUCAUGGGUGAGCCCUUGGGGAAUGUGGAGACCACUCCGGCCUGCGAUGGAGAAGGAAAUUGUGCCAGAAGCUGGGAAGUCAAAGUUAACCCUCCAGGCUAGAUUGCUUGAAAUAGGUGUGCAAACAAUUCACAUAUUAUAAAUACGUUGACUUGGGCCGGGUGUGGUGGCUCACGCCUGUAAUCCCAGCACUUUAGGAGGCUGAGGCAGGAGGAUUACUUGAGGUCAGGAGUUCCAGACAAGCCUGGCCAACAUUGCAAAACCCUCUCUCUACUAAAGUACAAAAAUUAGCCGGGCAAGGUGGUCCGUGCCUGUAAUCUCAGCUACUCAGGAGGCUGAGGCAGGAGAAUCGCUUAAACCCAGGAGAUGGAAGUUGCAAUGAGGCGAGAUCACAACAACCCACUCCAGCCUGGGCGACAGAGCAAGACCCUGUCUCAAAUAAAUAACUAAAAUGAAAAUAAAUAAAUUGAUUUGUUUUCAUUCAUAUAUUUUGGGGAUACAAUGGAGCUUAAAGUUUGAAAACCAAAACGGAGCUGGCCACCAAAGGUGUGGAUUUGGUCAACAGGGUGUGGACUCCAGCAGCCCGUGUCACUCUCAGACUCCAUGUCUCAAUUUGAAUGUUUCCAUGUCACUUAAAAAGUAGAAUAUUCAUAGUGAUGUUGAAGAUACAAAAGAUAUACCAGGAUUAAUUUUCUAGUCAAUUUUAUGUGUCUGUGACCCAAGACAAUAAAAGUUAAGUCAUCGUUAGUUCCUUAGUUGCUGGACACUUUAGCCCAAUAUACCACCUUCAAUUUUGAAUUAUUAUUUGGACUGUGUUCAUGAGAUUCUUGGAGUAUGUUAAAUCAACACAUUUCUUUGUAAUUAUUGAGAACCUUUUGUUCCCUAUAAAAUCAAGUGUACGAUGAUGUAAACUAUAAAACGCAAAUUGUAGGGACAAUUGGUAAUCUGCAGUGAAAAUAAAGUCAAAAUAGCAAAGAGCAGAUUAUUCUCAAAUUUAUGUAACAGAGUUCUUACAUGUGGAAGUGGAUACAAGUAUUAGCACAUUCAGUUGAUGUACUGAAAAUAAAAUGAAACUAUUUUUCUACUUACUACUUGCUUGUGAAAUCCAAAGGGGUGAAUAAGAGCCAGGAUUCAUUGUCAUGAGUGUAGGGGUGCCCUGGGAAGGAGGCCUCCAUCCCACGUGUCAGUGGCGUCAUCAGAAAUUCCAUGAUCGUCGGCUUAUUCUUUGCACACGUGUCUACAGGGUCCCUCCGCACACCGACUUGGUGUCCUCCAGGAUGCAGAAAACCCAAAUUAAACUAGUUUAAUGAAUAAGGAAACUAAGUGGCUCUUAGGACCAUAAGCCCUGCGGUGACGCCUGCUUCAGGGCUGGAGGAGCUAAGUGUUCUCUGGUUCACCAAAGCCCCCAGUUCUUUCCGUCUGUCACUCAUAGCUUCGGCUUCGUCCCCGGCUCACUGCCAGUGGUAAUCAGGCUGCCCAAGAACUUCUGAAAUCCACAGCCCGGUGUUUCCAAACGAAUUAUCAGUAGGGUUGGAAUCCCUUCUCCCCAGCCCCAGCCCCAGCAAGGCCCUCCAACGCCACUGCAGUUCCCUGGAUAGCAGGAAGAGGCCUGAGCCGGCUCUCCCGGAGCUCCAGGUGCAGAGUCUCCCCACAUGGGAGUCAGUGUUCUCAGAGCAGCAUUUGUUGACCUGAGCUAACCAAGUUCUCUAACUGAAAGCCUGGCUGUGUAAAGCCACAGAUGUCUGGCAUUAGAAUAGCUCAAGGACAGGAGAAAAAACUGACAAUCAGUCCAGAACGGCAUCCCAGGACUUCUGCUCUGAGGAGAAAACAGGACUAAACCCCAGCUGAGGUCUAUUUCCAACUCCAAGAUUCUGCAAUGUUAUCUCUGUUUAAAAAGAUAUCCCACUUUUUGAUGACAGUGUGUCUGGAAUUGGUGGGUUCUUGGUCUCACUGACUUCAAGAAUGCAGCUGCGGACCCUGGCGGUGAGUGUUACAGCUCUUAAAGGCGGCAUGUCCGGAGUUUGUUCCUUCUAGGUGGGUUCCUGGUCUCUCUGGCUCAGGAGUGAAGCUGCAGACCUUAGCGGUAAGCUGUUACAGCUCUUAAGUCAGCGCGUCUGGAGUCGUUCGCUCCUCCCGGUGGGUUCGUGGUCUCGCUAGCCUCAGGAGUGCAGCUGCAGACCUUCGUGGUGACUGCUACAGCUCAUAAAAGCAGUGUGGACCCAAAGACUGAGCAGUAGCAAGAUUUAUUGCAAAAGACGAAUGAACAAAGCUUCCACACGACAGACACAAACCCUAACAGAUUGCCACCGCUAGCUCGGAGAGCCUGCUUUUCUUCCCUUAUCUGGCUCCACCCACAUCCUGCUGAUUGGCCCAUUUUACAGAGAGCUGAUUGGUCUGUUUUACAGAGAGCUGAUUGGUCUGUUUUGACAGGGUGCUGAUUGGUGCGUUUACAAUCCUGAGCUAGACACAAAGGUUCUCCAAGUCCCCACCAGAUUAGCUAGACACAGGGUGCUGAUUGGUGCAUUUACAAACCUUGAGCUAGAUACAGAGUGCUGAUUGGUGUAUUCACAAUCCCUUAGCUAGACAUAAAUGUUCUCCAAGUCCCCACCAGAUCAGCUAGACACAGAGUGCUGAUUGGUGCAUUUACAAACCUUGAGCUAGAUACAGAGUGCUGAUUGGUGUAUUUACAAUCCCUUAGCUAGACAUAAAGAUUCUCCAAGUCCCCACCAGACUCA
rnacentral:lncRNA from 1 species